AUCAUUGUUGAUGCCUCGCAAACAGGACGACUUGCGAACUGGUUGAAUUAAUCUCGGGGAGGCACACGAGGGGUCCACAUUGCCCCGAGUUGCCAGCCCCUUGCCGGGGGCGCAAGAGCGGCCUCGUGCUGCUGCUAGUGUGCCCCGGGCAGCACAACAACUAUGGCCCCGGCGCCGGACGCGCCAAGGAACUCGAACAAACGUGCGUAGCCCCGGCGAUCCGGAUACGGAUCCCGCUCGGGGUAAGUCGCGAGAAUGGUGUCCAAAAUGACUCUCGGCAACGGAUAUCUCGGCUCUCGCAUCGAUGAAGAACGUAGCGAAAUGCGAUACUUGGUGUGAAUUGCAGAAUCCCGUGAACCAUCGAGUCUUUGAACGCAAGUUGCGCCCGAAGCCAUUAGGCCGAGGGCACGUCUGCCUGGGUGUCACGCAUUGCUGUCCCAAACCCAGACGCCCCUCGAACUGAUCGGAGGGGGGGAGGCGCUUGGGCGAAAGUUGGCCUCCCGCGAGCAUUGCCUCGCGGAUGGUUGAAAAACGAGCCCACGAGUGAUGACCGCCACGUUCACGGUGGACGAGCGAAAGCCUCGAGCCCGACCGUGCGCAUGAUGUCCCUUUGUCUAGGCUGCGAGACCCGUGCAAGCAAGAAAGCGCUCACAACGCGACCCCAG
rnacentral:rRNA from 1 species